UACACCAAACGGUCGUAUGGAUGAUAACGGUGUAGCAAAAAAUCGGAUUACGUUCAUACAUGGGAUUAGAAGGACGAAUUGUUUUGCACGUCAACGAAUCGCACCGAACAAUCGUAUGGAAGAGGAUGGUAUAGCACAAAACCGGAUUUUGUUCAAACAUGUGAUUGCGAAAAAGAAUUGUUCAGUGGCGCCAAUGGAUGUAAAUCGCGUGCUUGCAAAUGAUGUGUCCACUUCGUGGCCAGCUGGGCCAGCACGAAACAGCUCCAUUCUUCAUGAUGGAAUGUUCCAGAACUGACCAGCUAAUAUCCAUGGAAAUAUAUGACCGUUAUUCUGCCUAGAGCAACGUGGAAUUACACCAAACGGUCGUAUGGAUGAUAACGGUGUAGCAAAAAAUCGGAUUACGUUCAUACAUGGGAUUAGAAGGACGAAUUGUUUUGCACGUCAACG